rnacentral:rRNA from 1 species
AUCGGAUUGAUACUAAGCCAUGCGAGUCAUUGUAGCAAUACAAGGCAUACGGCUCAGUAACGCGUAGUCAACUACCCUAUGGACGGGAAUAACCUCGGGAAACUGAGUAUAAUGCCCGAUAGAACAUUAUGCCUGGAAGGGUUUAUGUUCCAAAUGAUUUAUCGCCGUAGGAUGGGACUGCGGCCUAUCAGUUUGUUGGUGAGGUAAUGGCCCACCAAGACUAUUACAGGUACGGGCUCUGAGAGGAGUAGCCCGGAGAUGGGUACUGAGACACGGACCCAGGCCCUAUGGGGCGCAGCAGGCGAGAAAACUUUGCAAUGUGCGAAAGCACGGCAAGGUUAAUCCGAGUGGUUUCUGCUAAAGGAACCUUUUGUUAGUCCUAAAAACACUAACGAAUAAGGGGUGGGCAAGUUCUGGUGUCAGCCGCCGCGGUAAAACCAGCACCUCAAGUGGUCAGGAUGAUUAUUGGGCCUAAAGCGUCCGUAGCCUGCUCUGUAAGUUUUCGGUUAAAUCCGUAUGCUCAACAUACAGGCCGCCGGGAAUACUGCAGAGCUAGGGAGUGGGAGAGGUAGACGGUACUCGGGAGGAAGUGGUAAAAUGCUUUGAUCUCUCGAUGACCACCUGUGGCGAAGGCGGUCUACCAGAACACGUCCGACGGUGAGGGAUGAAAGCUGGGGGAGCAAACCGGAUUAGAUACCCGGGUAGUCCCAGCUGUAAACGAUGCAGACUCGAUGAUGCAUUGGCAUAAUAGCCAGUGCAGUGUCGCAGGGAAGCCGUUAAGUCUGCCGCCUGGGAAGUACGUACGCAAGUAUGAAACUUAAAGGAAUUGGCGGGGGAGCACCACAAGGGGUGAAGCCUGCGGUUCA